UGAACCAGUGAUGAUAGUUUUCAUGAACCCAGAAUUAUGAUUAAUCUAAUUCUAUGCAGUUUAGGUCCAAA
rnacentral:snoRNA from 1 species